ensembl:antisense 6330418K02Rik RIKEN cDNA 6330418K02 gene
GAAAGCGGAAGCGGAAGGAAGGGGGCGUGGCCUCCGAGGCUUCUUGGCUGAGUCGAGGGCCUGGGCAUUGUGCAUGAAGCCCACCACAUCGUCCAGACUCCAGCACAGGGCAUCUGCCAACAGGACCAGUGACUCAUCAAAGUACUCGGCCACCAUGACCAGGUCAAAGACUGAGUCCAACCAGGCCAGACCCCAUUGGAUAAAGGAUGAGGGCCUAAAAUCUGAGGAGACAAGGCUGGCUGGCUGCUUGUAACUAUCAGCAGCUGUGGUAACAGGACGGAAGAGAGUUCCAGGGCUAGCACCGGAAGGAGAAGGCAGAGCGGGCUAGAGCUGCUGGAUCUCGGACAAUGGAAAAGAAGAAGCUAUCAGAAGGCAUGACCUGAAGUACCUGCAGAAGAAAGAAAGAGAGGAAGAGCUUGACUGAGGAGAAAAUGAGUCCAAGCUGAGGCUCUGAUGAGCCGUCAGGCUCUGCUGUACACCCCCAGUUUCCCCUACUAGCUGUGUGAUGUUGGGGAAAUUACAUAGCACCUCUGAAAUUCAAUUUGCUGUCUGCAAAAGGAAAGUAGUCAGAGGUUCCCAGGUAAUUGAGAAUACUCGAAAUAACAGCUAGUCAGAAAUCUAGAACACAAAGCUCUUACUGGUUAUUAAUGUCCUUGGGUUUUUGUGUCUUCGUUGGUAGAGAAAACUCUCAAACCUGGGGCUGGGGAGAUGGCUCAGUCAAUAAAGUGUGUGCCACACAAGCA